rnacentral:ncRNA from 1 species
AAGGCCUGAUGUGUGUGAGAUUACCCGCUGAAUUUAAGCAUAUAAGUAAGCGGAGGAAAAGAAACUAACUAGGAUUCCCUUAGUAAUGGCGAAUGAACAGGGAUCAGCUCAGUGCCAAAUCGGAAUCACUUGUGGUUCUGAAAUGUGGCUUGAAGGCAGUACCAGUGGCAUCGCGGACGAAAGUCUCUUGGAAAAGAGCGUCAUAGAGGGUGAGAAUCCCGUGAGUCGUUCGCCGUUUGUCACGUACGGUCUGCGUUCUAACGAGUCGCGUUCCUUGGGAUUGGAGCGUAAACGGGUGGUAAAUUUCAUCCAAAGCAAAAUAUAUACUCGAGACCGAUAGCACAAAAGUACCGUGAGGGAAAGGUGAAAAGAACUUUGAGAAGAGGGUUAAAUAGUGCCUGAAAUCGUUGAGAAGGAAGCGGAUGCCGCCGUUGCAUAUGCUGAUUGUAGGAUUGCUGCUCGCUCCUGUCUUCUGCUACUCAUUCACAGACCUGGUCGUGUUGAGCAGUUGUUUGGCAGAUGUUAGUGGUGUUUCCUACUUUCAGUCGUCAGCAUCACUGGCUGAGUGGAAAUAAUCCUUGGAUGCUAAUUGGUUCGCUAUCUGUGAAUUGGUUGCUUCCUUGCGAUACUCACUACUCGGUCAGUGAGGAAGUGCGUUUGCUGGUCAACGAGCUUUCUACUGUCAUUACCCUGCGCUUUUCGAUUCGUCGAGGACCAGGAUGUGGCUUUGAGAUUGUUCGCACUUAGUAAUCGCGAUGCUGGCU